rnacentral:rRNA from 1 species
CCCUUAGAUGUUCUGGGCCGCACGCGUGUUACACUGAGUGGAUCAGCGGGUCAGGUUGCGCGAAAGCGUUUCCUAAUCUUUAAAUCCGCUCGUGAUGGGGAUUGACGGUUGCAAUUUUCUGUCAUGAACGAGGAAUACCUUGUAAGCGCGGGUCAUCAUCCCGCGCUGAAUACGUCCCUGCCCUUUGUACACACCGCCCGUCGCUCCUACCGAUUGGGUGUGCCGAUGAAACUCUCGGAUGUAGGCUAUUCAUAGCCCGCAGAAGAGAUUUGAAUCGUAGCGCUUAGAGGAAGGAGAAGUCGUAACA